AUUGAACGCUGGCGGCAUGCUUUACACAUGCAAGUCGAACGGCAGCACGGGGGCAACCCUGGUGGCGAGUGGCGAACGGGUGAGUAAUAUAUCGGGACAUGUCCGGAAGUGGGGGAUAACGUACCGAAAGGUACGCUAAUACCGCAUAUGCCCUGAGGGGGAAAGCGGGGGAUCGCAAGACCUCGCGCUUUCGGAGUGGCCGAUAUCGGAUUAGCUAGUAGGUGAGGUAAAGGCUCACCUAGGCGACGAUCCGUAGCUGGUCUGAGAGGACGACCAGCCACACUGGGACUGAGACACGGCCCAGACUCCUACGGGAGGCAGCAGUGGGGAAUUGUGGACAAUGGGCGCAAGCCUGAUCCAGCCAUGCCGCGUGAGUGAAGAAGGCCUUCGGGUUGUAAAGCUCUUUCGGACAGAAAGAAAUCGCACAGGUUAAUACCUUGUGUGGAUGACGGUACUGUAAGAAGAAGCACCGGCUAACUACGUGCCAGCCGCCGCCGUAAGAC
rnacentral:rRNA from 1 species